ACCAGGGAAGUAAAGCACGAGCACACGUAUUAGGACCUGAAAGAUGGUGAACUAUGUCUUGGAACGGUGAAGCCAAAGGAAACUUGGUGGAGGUCUGUAAAGGUCCUGAUGUGAAAAUUGGUUAUCUGACCUGUAUAUAGGGGCAAAAGACUAAUUGAACCAUUUAGUAACUGGUUUCCUCCAAAGUUUCCCUCAGCGUAGCUGGCAUGCUCACACACAAACCUACAAGUUUUAUCUAGUAAAGUGAAUGACUAGGGUCUUCAACCACAACUAUUUCAACCUAUUCUCAAACUUCAAAUGGCUAAGAAGCCUGCCUUGAUAGCAUGGAGCCAGGAGUGGAAUGCAAGUGACUAGUGGGCUACUUUUGGUAAGCAGAAGUAGUGCUACAAGAUGAAUCAAAUGCUUGGUUAAGGUAUCCAAUGCAAACCUCAUUAGACCCAAGAAAAGAUAUUGGUUGAUACAAACAGGAUAAUGUCAAUGGAAGUUGGAACCCACUAAGAAGUAUGUAAACACCCACUUGCUGAAUGACCUAGCCCUGAAAAUGUUGGGAGUGAUGGGCCCAUACACAGCCACAGCUGGCAUUUGGUGAUGCAUGCAAGAAGGAUGGAAGCAAGUGGGGGGCAGGGAACAUGGGUUCCCCCCAGGGCCACCACAGCCACUAUGCCACAAUGAGUAGGAAGGCCACUGUGGUGAGACUUGAAGCCUUGGGCAUGGGCCCAGGUGGAGCUGCCACUGGUGCAGAUCUUGGUGAUAGUAGCAAAUAUUCAAAUGAGAACUUUGAGGGCUGGGGGCACCUGCAUGACUCAUUGGUUGAGCUCCCAGCUCUUGAUCUCAGCUCAGGUCAUGAUUUCAUGGUUCGUGGGAUCAAGCCCCAUGUUGGGCUCUGAGCUGACAGUAUGGAGCCUGCUUGUAAUUCUCUCUCUCUCUGCCCCUCCCCUGCUCUCAUGUAUGCACAUGCAAGCAUGCUCUCUCCCUCUCUUUCAAAAUAAAUAAAUUUUUUUUUCAAAAAUUUUUUUUCAACGUUUAUUUAUUUUUGGGACACAGAGAGACAGAGCAUGAACGGGGGAGGGGCAGAGAGAGAGGGAGACACAGAAUCGGAAACAGGCUCCAGGCUCUGAGCCAUCAGCCCAGAGCCUGACGCGGGGCUCGAACUCACGGACCACGAGAUCGUGACCUGGCUGAAGUCGGACGCUUAACCUACUGCGCCACCCAGGCGCCCCUCAAAAUAAAUAAAUUUUUUUAAAACUUAAAAAAAAAAACUUUGAAGGCUGAAGUGGAGAAAGGUUCCAUGUCAACAAAAAUUGAACAUGGGUCAGUUGGUCCUGAGAGAUGGGCAAGCGCCAUUGUGAAAGAACAGGCAAUUGCCUCCAUUGUCUUCGGCCAAUCAAAAGGGAGUCGAUUCAUAUUUUUUAAAAAUUCACCUAGAGGAGGAUGGGGACACAGUAGGAGGACCUUAGGCUUGUCUCAUCCCAGGAAUACAACUAGGUAACUAUCAAAUUAUUCUAAAUACCCAAGAAACCAAUCUGAAGGU
rnacentral:ncRNA from 1 species